GUGGCUUUAUGACCAGAUGAACAGUCAGUGUUAGCUUUCAAUUCAUUAAUAAAAGCUAACCUUUCUGUUUGUCUCGAAUAUUCUGCACACG
rnacentral:miRNA from 2 species